UGCAGGUGGUUGGAACAUCCUGGCAGAGGAAGGGAAGGACACACACUAACAAGGGGGAUGAACCAAAAGGGUGGACCACCCACCCAUCCAUCUUCUAAUGCUUAUCCUCUUCAGUGGUUGAGCUGAAACCUCAAACCAGAUGUUUUGUUGUUUUUUUCCAUCCAGACGCAUCUUUGUGUCCCUUGAGAUUUGCUUGAUAAAUCGAAGCGACAACAAUGGCUCGAUUUAGAAGUUUAAUUUGGCUUCGUAACCAUGCUUGUGACGCGCCUUGGACGACAGCGGGCGGUACAAUACAGACACUUAUAAUAAAUGAAGAAGAGUUUCACAACUAAGUGACUCAGUAUGCUGCAGUAAUAGAAGUCUACACAGAGGAUAAGUACUAUAUGCCUAGGCCUGUUCCUCAGUCAGUUGUGUCAACAAUGCAAAUCCUCAAAAGAGACUUCCAACAGCGCAGAUCAUCUUUUCUCCAUUCGAACAUCUUUGGUGGCGCAAAAGAAAGAUUUCUCUCUUUCGGAUCCAAACCUACGCUGUAUGGAAAAAUGAGAAGGGGGGCAAAAGUCUUCAUCCCUCACUUAAUCAACUAAUUAGCAAAAAGAAGCUGAGAUGGGAAUUGUUCAUCACCCUCUGAAACUGAACUGAAGAGCGGACGGAGAGACACCUCAACAUUCCACCAAACUUUUCCACUUUCCUUGUUCUCAUCGUGUGCUCAUCAUUGAUCGGGCAGGAAGGCGCAGAGAAGCGUAAAAAGGACAGAAAUAUUUUUUCCAGCUCCAAUCAACACAAGCAAUAAAUGACUAAAUAACACAACCAGUGAAGAAGUGAAUUUUGCACGCCUGUGUAUUGUGGUGAAACUGAAUGUCAUUUCGGGUCUUGAAGGAAGAAUGUUUUUUUAAUACAAAAAUGGAGCAGCUAUAGCUG